UGCCUUGUGUGGGUAGCUGCCAAGAUUUCAAGAUUUCAAGCCUGUCUUGGAACUUUCCUCAGGUUCUCAGUGGUGUCCUUUACAUGUGAAACAAACAUGGGGAAGGAGAUCCAUUGCCUCCUCAAUGUAAUGGUGCCUGUGGCAAGAAGGUCUUUGUGCACUCAGAUGGCCCAGAGGAUCCAGCUGCCGAAGUCCUGCAGAGGCGGUGAAGAUUCCAGGGAAACCCUGACUAUAGAGAAGUAUUGGACUUCUAGACAGGUUCCUGCUUUGAGCUCCUGUCUUGGCUUCUUUUGGUGAUGGACUAUCAGCUGGAAAUGAAUGCAAACUCUUUCUUUCCCAAGAUGCUCAUGGUGAUGAUGUUUAUCACAGCAACCGAAACUUAACUAGAGCAAGUUGGAAAGAACUAUAGAAGAAACUCUCAAGAGAAAAAUCCAAGUGAUUUGUUCCCUGACAUAUUAAUAAAAACUAACAUAUGUGUUCUUUAGAAGGAGAUAAUUGCUCUGGUUCCUAACAAAGUUUUCAGAGUGAGGAAAUAAUUGGUCCCUUAGGAGUCAGUGCAGGAAACUUUUCAGCGCUUGAAAAUAUUUUUCUAAUCUAAUGAUUCCUCCCAUUUUGCUGAAAAUGAUCGGAUUCAUUGCUUUUCAUGAGUGAAUGGUAUUACCAUGUUUUCAUGAUCCAUCCACCAGUGCUAGGAAUCUAGUUUGAUCUAUAUCUUAGCUACAGACAUGAGCGUGAAGGCAUCUUUGUGAUGUUCUAAUUUCAUUUUCUUUGUAUUUAAAACAAAAAGUUUUGCUGUUGGGUCACACAGCAGUUAUAUUAAUAUGUUUUGAGGAAAUUGUUAUUCUCUAUGUUGUCAAUUCUAAUCUAUACUUCCAUCAUAAUGUAUAAAAAUCCCCUUUCUGCCACAUUCCUUGCUCACAUUUGUUACAUUUUUUCUUUUUGAUAAUAUUUAUUCUAACUAGGUUGAGAUAACCUGUUGUGGUUUAGAUUUUAAUA